rnacentral:rRNA from 1 species
UGGGGAAUUUUGGACAAUGGGGGAAACCCUGAUCCAGCCAUCCCGCGUGUGCGAUGAAGGCCUUCGGGUUGUAAAGCACUUUUGGCAGGAAAGAAACGUCAUGGGUUAAUACCCCGUGAAACUGACGGUACCUGCAGAAUAAGCACCGGCUAACUACGUGCCAGCAGCCGCGGUAAUACGUAGGGUGCAAGCGUUAAUCGGAAUUACUGGGCGUAAAGCGUGCGCAGGCGGUUCGGAAAGAAAGAUGUGAAAUCCCAGAGCUCAACUUUGGAACUGCAUUUUUAACUACCGGGCUAGAGUGUGUGAGAGGUAGGUGGAAUUCCGCGUGUAGCAGUGAAAUGCGUAGAUAUGCGGAGGAACACCGAUGGCGAAGGCAGCCUCCUGGGAUAACACUGACGCUCAUGCACGAAAGCGUGGGGAGCAAACAGG